rnacentral:rRNA from 1 species
GAUGAACGCUGGCGGCGUGCCUAAUACAUGCAAGUCGAGCGAACAGACGAGGAGCUUGCUCCUCUGACGUUAGCGGCGGACGGGUGAGUAACACGUGGAUAACCUACCUAUAAGACUGGGAUAACUUCGGGAAACCGGAGCUAAUACCGGAUAAUAUAUUGAACCGCAUGGUUCAAUAGUGAAAGACGGUUUUGCUGUCACUUAUAGAUGGAUCCGCGCCGCAUUAGCUAGUUGGUAAGGUAACGGCUUACCAAGGCAACGAUGCGUAGCCGACCUGAGAGGGUGAUCGGCCACACUGGAACUGAGACACGGUCCAGACUCCUACGGGAGGCAGCAGUAGGGAAUCUUCCGCAAAGGGCGAAAGCUUGACGGAGCAACGCCGCGUGAGUGACGAAGGUCUUCGGAUCGUAAAACUCUGUUAUUAGGGAAGAACAAAUGUGUAAGUAACUAUGCACGUCUUGACGGUACCUAAUCAGAAAGCCACGGCUAACUACGUG